UACGGAGGGUGCAAGCGUUAUCCGGAUUUACUGGGUUUAAAGGGUGCGUAGGCGGGCUUUUAAGUUAGUGGUGAAAUCUCCGGGCUCAACCCGGAAAUUGCCAUUGAUACUAUUAGUCUUGAAUUAAGUUGAGGUGGGCGGAAUGUGUCAUGUAGCGGUGAAAUGCUUAGAUAUGACACAGAACACCGAUUGCGAAGGCAGCUCGCUAAACUUAUAUUGACGCUGAGGCACGAAAGCGUGGGGAUCAAACAGG
rnacentral:rRNA from 1 species